rnacentral:rRNA from 1 species
UACGGGGGGGGCAAGCGUUGUUCGGAAUUACUGGGCGUAAAGGGUUCGUAGGUGGCUUGCUAAGUCAGACGUGAAAUCCCCGGCUUAACCUGGGAACUGCGUCUGAUACUGGAAGGCUUGAGGAUGGGAGAGGGAUGUAGAAUUCCAGGUGUAGCGGUGAAAUGCGUAGAUAUCUGGAGGAAUACCGGUGGCGAAGGCGGCAUCCUGGACCAUUACUGACGCUGAGGCGCGAAAGCUGAGGGGAGCAAACGGGG